UUUUGGGCCGGGUUGAGUGUACCAACCAAUUAUCAAUUAUCAAUGAUCAGGUGUAGGAGGAAGUAAGAGAAGAUACGUCGGGAGGAAUAGCGCGUGGUCGACUUGCCAAGGAAUGAAAAGCAUAGAGGAAAAACCAUCCUCAUGAAUUUGUUGCGAAACCUGAGUCAUUAUUCCUGUGAAGAUUAUCAUAGCAAGCCUCCAGAGUGUAAAUUUCCACAAGGUUUUUUUCCACCCAAACGUUUACCCAUCUGGUACUAUUUGCCUUUCGAUCCUUAAUGAGGAUAGUGUAAGUAUUUUCUCCUCUUGAUUGUUGUUUUACAUACUUGGAUCAGAGUGAUUCCAUCGCUCCAUCUUGGAGGUUUAAGGCCAUUUUUGUUUCCAUAGGGCUGGAGACCUGCCAUAACCGUGAAACAGAUUCUUGUGGGAAUCCAGGACUUGCUGAAUGCACCAAAUACUACCGAUCCUGCUCAAGCUGAAGGGUACAACAUCUUGAUACAUGUAUGUUUCUUGAGUUGAUUUUGCAUUGACUGGAUAAUCUUGAUUAUGAACUGAAUGAUUAUAACGUUCCUGAUAUCAUUUUUAAAUCGAUCUAACUCAUUAAACCUUAUUCUAUUUAAGAUGGUUAUUGGUUGCUAAAUGCAAUAAAGUUUCUAGGCAUGGCACUCUGUAUUCCUCCCUUUUCGAGGAGCUUCAAUUAAAGUAAAAUCAUAAUCAUUUAAUCAUA